GUUAGAUGGCUGCCCAUGUCUAUGUGCACUCUGGAAGACAAUGCUCUGUGCUGGGCUCUAUGCAAAACUUGCUCACCACACAGAUUGGUUCCUAUUUCCUGCUCUGUCUGCUAUACAGAACACAUUCCUGGGCACGAGGUUGGCACCUGUGACAAGCUGAGAACAAGGAAGGAUAUACAGGCACGUGUUAACUACUUCACCCUGCAGAGCAAUGUGCCAGCUUGUCAGCUCUGGGAAACGAAACGUGCCGCGGUCCGCAAUGACCACUGAAAAGAAAGACAGGAUGAAUGCAAGCUCUUUGAAACAGGUAACAGUCUUAUUGUCACACUCUGCAUUCAUACUGUUCCUCCACAGGACAAAUGGACUAAUUUUAGGAAUAGAGGAUUUGAAAUCUAACCCAUGGCUCCCCACCCUUCACAUAGCUUAAAUUAACAAUAAGGACUUAGUCGUUUGAUAAAUAUAUUAUUAUAUAUUGCUUGCGUGUGUGUAGAAAUACCAAAUGGCUACUUAGACCUUGACAUUCUCUCAGGAUUAUUCACUAAUCCCAGAAAUGCAUAUUAAAAUCUGACAUGCAAAAUUUAUGUAAAAAACGGCUGAUUUGGAAAAUUGUCACAACUUUGCUAUUUUAGCCUCCAUUUUGAAGUUCAAUUCACUGCAAAUUGUGAGUUUAGUGAAUAAAUGCUUCAAUUUAAAAAAAACCCAGAAUGUUUCAUGUGUAUUCCUGAACUCUUCCACUGAAUACAUUUCUACCAGUCCUGCUCAACAGCUAUCCUAUGUUUGUACAUUCCUUCCGGUAAAAAGGUAUUUAGUUUUCUUAUCGGUAGAUGUUCUUCCUUGUAUGAAACUACUCACACCCACUUUUUCUAAUGAGUGACAGCUAUCUAUGACAAACUGUUGAAUCUCUGCCAUGGUUGAGUGCAGGAUUAAGUACAUCAGGUAUUUGCACAGUACAUUCUGAUUGAGAAUAUCCACUUUUCCACCUAACUAAACUUCUGUGUGGGAGGAAUUCUGUACAAAGAAUGAACAUACUCAUGUAGGGCAAAAACUUUAUUGCUCGGGCUCUAGGGUGAGGCAGUUCCAAUGCUCAGGACACUUGGUAUUAGAAAUACACGUUGAAAGGAGGAAAUUAAGAUGAUCUUCUCAUGAAGAAAGCAACACAAGGGGAAUUUCUCACUACCAAAAUCAACUAUUUUCUUCUAAAAUCUACAUUCAUGACUGAGUUAGCAGAAUGUUGCUUUGUGCGGCGCUGUUUAGCAGGAGUUUCUCAUUUCCAUUCCUUAUCAGUGGCUACUACGCUCCAUAAAACAGCAUCGCCUGUGUGAACAUGGCUUGCAAUAGAAUUUGCAAACUAAAAGAAACUCAUUGCUUGCAUAUUUAAAGGGACACUAUAGUUACCAGAACAACUACAACUUAAUGAGAAAAGGCAGUGUUUACAUUGCUGCCUAUGAACACCUCUAGAGUCACUAGAGGUGCUUCCUGGGUCAGUGCUGAACACUCCUCUAUAAAAGGAGUGUUCAGCACUGAACCCUGAACUUCAUGUGCAGCAUUGACCCAGGAAGCACCUCUAGUGGCUCUGUGUUGAUUCAAUGCAUCUCUAUGAGGGGAUGCUGAUUGGCACAGUGCAGUGUUUUGAUGUGCAUGCACAGUAGCCUACGAUGCUUUCCUAUGGGAAAGUAUUGGAUUUGCUAAGAUCAUCAAAUUUAAGGAGGCGGAGCUAAGUCGGGCCCAGCGAUGAGUAGACCCAUGCAGCUCUGGGGAAAAAGGUGAGUAAAUCACCUUUUAAACGGGGGUAAGGGGAGGCCAGGGAGCUAAAUGGUGCAUUUAGACCUAUAGAUGGCGCUAUAUAAAUAAUACAAUAAUAAUAAUAGUGUCAGGGCACAUUUGUAUUCUGGAAACUAUAGUAUUCCCUUAAUGUACCCUGACAAAAUAGCGUACUGUGUUAAAGCCAGGAAUCUGAACUCUUCUGAAACACCAAUCCAUGGUGCCAAUCCAGCCCCGAGGCUGGCUGGCUAGCUAGUUUGACAAAGACCUCAUCUGGUGGUCGAAACGUUUCUGCUGUUUGCUAUAUGCACUAAUCUUCAUUAAACCUGCCGUUUAAUCGGCCUUAGUUCUGCUAUUCUGGAUCGAUAAAAUAGGGCAUGUUAACCAAAUCAAUAUUAAAAUUUAAUUGAGAUAAAUAAUUCAACCCCUACAAAAAAGGGGCAACAUCUUACAAAAUUUUCUGUCAAUAUAAAUUACUAGGACAGUCUAAGCAGCAUAACCACUAUAUCUUAUUGUAGUGAUGAUGGUGCAAUGUGUGUUUGAUUAUAGGUCCUUGUUUUUGUAGUGUUUGGACAUAAAAAGCACCAAAUGCUCUGGGCUCUCUGCUGCCGGUAAGAUCACUUCUUCGUUAUCUGUACAUAAUUGGACACAAUUGAUAAUUUAAGGAUAAACAAAGACCCAGAGACUGCAGCCUGUCAUUGCCAUAUAAUUCUGAACAAAUACAUUAUGGUUAUCCUAUUCUGUUCCCUUAAUUGCACUUGUUUGAUACUGUGAAUAGAGCAUGGUUUGUUUGUUUUGUUAUUUUCAGGAAACCUUUGAC